UUUGUGCCAAACUCCUAGCUUCUCUUUGCCUCUAUCUCCUUUGUGGUCAUUGUUGAAAACGUUCCCAUUUUUCCCAGAAAGGAGGGCUGUAGCUGGGCCCCUGCUGACUCGUGUGAGGCAGAGGUCCCUGCCCAGGUCCCUGAGGAUCAGUGCCUGCCGGUUUUGUUCCUGAAGAGAUGAGAGCUGCGGAGUUAAACUGCAGCAAAGAAGCCUGAGGUUGGCUGCUGCAAAAGGUGCUUUGGCGGAGUGGGAGGCUGCAGGCUCCCAGCUGCUGGUGUUUCUGCAGGAAGAUAAAUUGGACCUUUUUAUUCUGCUUAUUAUUUGGGAAGUACAACAAGCAAAUGUUUUGCUGAAUGGGCGAACAGAGAAGUGUGGAACUCCUGAUAGUGAGAGCUCUGCUAGCAGGAGGUUUGACAACAACAGCAGCUAAACAGACAGAGUCUGGCUGUGCAGAAUUAAUGGGCUCAAAAGAAAAUGAGGAUCUCAGAGAAUUAAAUGAUUGCUAAGCAUUUUGGAGGAAUAAUGUCCAGUGCCAAUCCAAAGAGAAUGGAUCUCAUCGCUUUAACAAAGAUUAGACAGAAGCUGCCUCUGAGUCAACUGUCUAACAAGGCAAUAUUUCUGAGCUUUCUUCAUUGUGAGUGCACACACACCAGAAUUCAUCAGCACUAACAUUCAUGUGCGUAGGGAGUGACCUCCACUGUGAAUUGCUCUGGGUUGGGAGCUUGUUAUUUUACUAGGAAAAAAAAAGUCAUAAUAUUUUCUCCAUUACCUUUCUUUAAGCUACUGUGAUGCAAACUGACAUUCAGCUUAGGAGAGCACUAUGGGAUAUAAGAUCUGUGUUUCCCAUGUGGAUUCUAGGAAGGGCAAAGAAUCUUCUGGUUUAUAUAUUCUGGUAUCAUUCAUCAGUGAGAAUUUUAAUAACCUCUCACCAUUUCUAGGCUUUGUAGCCUUACAGAAGAAUUACUGUUAUAUCUGGUGUCUACUGUUAAGCUGUAAUGUCUACUGUUAAUCUAUGAGUAGGUGUAUAUAGUUCUAUAGAUAACAUCUAUCUUACAUCAUUGUAAGAACAGGAAACUGGGAACAAGAAAAGGGAAGGUCUUCUUGAGAUGAUUAAAAAAACUAUUUUGAGAAUAUUGGCAGCUCUCAUAUUCCAGGGUAUUGGUGAAAUAGAAAACUUUCCAACAGCAUUGCUAAAUUGGGGGUAAAGGUUUAAAAUUUUUCACAGAAGAGAUGAAUACCAAAGUCACAAAAAAUAGCAAAAAUACAGCAUUUACGUCACUUGGCCUCAAGGUGAAAUUUAUAAUAUGCAAAGCAAUAGAAGUGACUGAUGCCAUUGUUUAUUUUCAUGUUUCAAAGGCCAGCAUCUAGGACAGCUAAUUGUUGCCUAUUGUUGGAAGAGAGAGGCAACUAGUCACAGAAAAUGACUGUUGUCACCUCUCUUAGAUAUUUACUUAAGAUUUGAGUAAAUGAGUCUUGAUAAUUUCUUUCUCCAAUGACCAAAGAGAGUGCACAGCUAGAUUCAAUAAUUGCUCCACUUUUACAUGCCUUUGUUAGAAAAGAUAAAAUAUAUCUAAGAGUUGCCAAAAGCUAAGAGGGUACAUCAUUCCUAUUGGUACGUAAUGGAUAUGAAGAAAGAGACAAAUCACAAAAUCAGAUGUAAUGCAAUUUAUGUGAUGAAGAACAGAGAAUGAGGCGAGCGCUGCUUACAUGGAGUAAUACUUAAAAGUACACAGCCAUAAGGUCAAACCGUAUCUGCUGCUUUCCUUGUAACGUCCAUCUGAAUGAUUACAAGUAUUGAGAUUCCUCCUGCCAGACAAAUUCAGCAGUGAGGCUGCACAUUCAGUCUUAUAUUUGCUGUAAGGUUCACUCCCAGCAAAGAAAGGCAAUGAUGGUGAGGAGGAAGAGGAGCAAGAAGAUGAAGAAGAGAAAGCUGGGAUUGCUGCUGCUAACCUUUCAUAAGGAUUGUCCUGGCCUCUGCCCACUCUGUUCUUCCAUCAGUCGUCAGCAAGCCGAUUGGAGGCAGCAUUUCCUCUUCAUUCUCUGCCAUUUUGGCUAUCUUUCGUAACUGAGUGAAAAGAUCUCCCUCACUGAGACGACGGAAGUUAAUGACAACAUCCAAAACAAAAAACUGCAAAAAAGAAGUCAGAAGAACAGUCACAGGUGAGUUGGACCAUUACUUGUCUGGCAUUUUGCCUUCACUGCGUGUCCUUGAUGUGCUGAAGUCUGCCUAGAGAGCCAAGCCUGAGGACCACAGAGAACAAAAACAUUACUUCUCAGCACUGCUGGGCUUUGACAACAGGGGUUGUAGGGGACUUGCAUGAUUGUGUUGGACUCAAAACAUUUGCUAUAUGAAUAAACUAAAAAGCACCUGAGGAGAUAAAACCACAAAGCGAGUAAAUAAUUUGCAUAAUAUUAUUUGUUUAAAAUGAACCUAGAGAACUUCCUAUUGAGGUGAAGAGCAGGACUUCCUGGGAAAGGGGCUUGCUAAGAUCUAGCCCUUUAUUCAAAGGGGGGCUGCAGGCAAAGUAUGCUCCAGCACUACACAUUGGCUGAGUUAUAUGGUACUCUGC